CUAUAAGGUAGUGUCUCUUACCACCGAGUAGCGCGGUGGUUCUCGACGCUGAGGUCAAUUGCCACCGAGUGCAUUAGAGCUCUUUUGCGUUUAUGAGUAGGCUUGGCUGUCUUAGUUCGUGAACUUCCGGCACACACAGCGUCUUGGCUACCGUCAGGCAUGGCGUCUUUCGUUGAAGAUUGAAGGGACGUUUAAUUCUUUUGAUGAAUUCAAUCAGAAAUUUGUCAAUUUUAAAGAAAAGAAUUUUGUUGUGUUCAGAACUAAAUCCUCAGAGAAGGUGGGAACAACGAAUGCAAAAACCAUACAACAGAUCGAUCCGAAAUUUGUGUACAGCCGUGUACAUUACGUGUGCACACACUUUGGACAGCCCAGGUACCGCGGGACCGGUGUGAGAUCCAAAACAAAACACUCAGCAACAGGAUGCAAGGCAUCAUUUGUACUAAAGUACAAUUAUUAUGAAAAGCAUCUGCAUAUUGCAAAUGCUCACAUGGAUCACAACCAUCCAACGACACCUGAAACUGUUGCACAGGAGCACCAAGUCAAGCGACUUGCACCAGCUCAGCUAAAGACUUUGGA